AUCUAAAUAGUUUAAGUAAAAUGUUGGUUUGUGGUGCCGAUGAUAUAAUUUUUUUAUUUUGGAUU
rnacentral:tRNA from 2 species